AUUUGCCCUGGCAGCAUAUGGGUGAAAACGCUGGAGGAGAAAGUCAUCGCUUUGUUAUUGGCCCUUGGACUCCCCUGGCAUCUUGUGUACAGCAUGACGUUUUCAGCUAUGAAGAUUUCCAGAGACUCUGAGGGAGGAGAACUAAGCCCGGAGGGAAAGCAUUGCACGAGCUG